rnacentral:rRNA from 34 species
GAGUUUGAUCUUGGCUCAGAUUGAACGCUGGCGGCAUGCCUUACACAUGCAAGUCGAACGGCAGCACGGGAGCUUGCUCCUGGUGGCGAGUGGCGAACGGGUGAGUAAUGCAUCGGAACGUAUCCUGGAGUGGGGGAUAACGUAGCGAAAGUUACGCUAAUACCGCAUAUUCUGUGAGCAGGAAAGCGGGGGACCUUCGGGCCUCGCGCUCUUGGAGCGGCCGAUGUCGGAUUAGCUAGUUGGUGAGGUAAAGGCUCACCAAGGCGACGAUCCGUAGCAGGUCUGAGAGGAUGAUCUGCCACACUGGAACUGAGACACGGUCCAGACUCCUACGGGAGGCAGCAGUGGGGAAUUUUGGACAAUGGGGGCAACCCUGAUCCAGCCAUGCCGCGUGAGUGAAGAAGGCCUCGGUUGUAAG